rnacentral:lncRNA from 1 species
UCCAUAUUAUUGAUACCAUCAUUACCAUCUACACUGUACUGUCAUUAUAUAUAGCUGUGAUCAAUAUUAUUAUUGUCUCCACUAUCUUUACUACAACUACAAUAUGUUAACUACUAUGGAUAUAUUUUUUAUAAAUAAUUAAUCAUAUUAAAUAUAUUUAUAUUUUUUAAAUUUUAAGAAAAAAAUUAUAGAAACAUUCUUCAACUCUAGUUUAAUUUCACUUAGAUCCCAUAUACUUUAAAAAGUAUUAACUAGCCUUUUUAGUUAUCGAUAUGUUCUAAUAUGAUCCAGCCGUUCACUUACCAGCAAAUAGUUUUAGCUUUCUCUCUCAAUAGAUAGAAAUAUCCUCACACAUAUGAGAAAGAUCGUCGGUGAGAAAGAGAUGGAGGUGGAAGAAGCCACUAUAAAAGAAGAUGAGGCAUGGAGGUCCGCAUGGAGGGGAAGAUGGCAAUAUUGAAGGUCUCAUGGGUCACAUUAGAGGAGGAUCGAAGAAAAGGGGGUGACGAGGAAGAAGAGGCCACCGGCAAUGAAUGGGUGAAGAUGGAGAGAACAUCAUGGAGGGGGAGGACUCAUGGACGAUCUUGGAGGAAGUGGAUGACAAAGAGAAGAAGAGAGUGAGGAGGAAGGGAAGGAGAAAGGAUAGAUUGCGAUAAGAAGGAUCGA